AUGCCGCGUGCAGGAAGAAGGCCUUCUGGGUUGUAAACUGCUUUUAUCGGGGAAGAAAACGCUCUUGCGAGAGUAACUGACGGUACCCGAGGAAUAAGCACCGGCUAACUCCGUGCCAGCAGCCGCGGUAAUACGGAGGGUGCAAGCGUUGUCCGGAUUUAUUGGGUUUAAAGGGUGCGUAGGCGGCCCGUUAAGUCAGCGGUGAAAUCCCGGGGCUCAACCCCGGAACUGCCGUUGAUACUGGCGGGCUUGAGUUCGGUCGAGGCGGGCGGAACUGGCGGUGUAGCGGUGAAAUGCUUAGAUACCGCCAAGAACCCCGAUUGCGUAGGCAGCUCGCUGGGCCGAAACUGACGCUGAGGCACGAAAGCGUGGGGAGCGAACAGGAUUAGAUACCCUGGUAGUCCACGCCGUAAACGAUGAUGACUCGAUGUUGGCGACACACUGUCAGCGUCCAAGCGAAAGCGUUAAGUCAUCCACCUGGGGAGUACGCCCGCAAGGGUGAAACUCAAAGA
rnacentral:rRNA from 1 species